rnacentral:rRNA from 1 species
CAGCCUAAUACAUGCAAGUCGAGCGAAUGGAUUAAGAGCUUGCUCUUAUGAAGUUAGCGGCGGACGGGUGAGUAACACGUGGGUAACCUGCCCAUAAGACUGGGAUAACUACGGGAAACCGGGGCUAAUACCGAAUAAUCUAUUUUACUUCAUGGCGAAAUACUGAAAGACGGUUUCGGCUGUCGCUAUAAGAUGGGCCCGCGGCGCAUUAGCUAGUUGGUGAGGUAACGGCUCACCAAGACGACGAUGCGUAGCCGACCUAGAGAGGGUGAUCGGCCACACUGGGACUGAGACACGGCCCAGACUCCUACGGGAGGCAGCAGUAGGGAAUCUUCCACAAUGGGCGAAAGCCUGAUGGAGCAACGCCGCGUGAGUGAAGAAGGUUUUCGGAUCGUAGAACUCUGUUGUAAGGGAAGAACAAGUACAGUAGUAACUAGGCUGUACCUUGACGGUUACCUUUAUUUAGAAAAAGCCCCACGGGGUAACUUACGGUGCCCAGCAGCCGCGGGGUGAAAU